rnacentral:snRNA from 3 species
AUCGCUUCUCGGCCUUUUGGCUAAGAUCAAGUGUAGUAUCUGUUCUUAUCAGUUUAAAUGCGAAUAAUCACCUUGUCACUAUAGCCAAUAGUUGAGAGAAGAAACUUUCUGGAGGAAAAAAAAAAAAACUAUUAUUUUUCACUUCUCACUUUUC